CCUCGGUGAGGCGGCGGUCACGUGUUGUUUUGCUCUUUAGUUGGGGCACUCGGUGCGCGAUGUGUUACUUACGGCGAAACUCCCGUCGGCGCCGGCAGCACCAGCGGCAGCAGCAGCGGCGGCGGUCGGGGAGCCUUAGCGGCGUCGCCGGUGCUCGAGCCGGGGAGGACGCCGGGCGGCCGCCGGCAGCACCCGCUGCCUAGAGGUGACAGCGGAGGAUCCCGCUGCGGCUCUGGGCACCGCGCUCUUCUACGAAGGAAUAACUUUAUUUUAUCUGCUUCCCUCCAUCCUUCCCUUUUUUUUUUUUCCCCCCCCCUUUUUUUUUUUUUCGCCCGCGGCGCUCGGGCUCCGGAUCCGGUCAGUGUCGGCGACAGCAGCGAGAGAAGCCGGGCGGCGCUCCCGCCGCGGGGCUGGGGAUGGCGAGCCCCGCCGUGCUGGGGCUGCUGCCCCCCCUGAGCUCCCCGCCCGGCCCUAACCUGAACAACAACAACAACAACAACCAGGGCGUGAGGAAGUGUGGGUACCUGCGCAAGCAGAAGCACGGCCACAAGCGCUUCUUCGUGCUGCGUGGCCCGGGCGGCGGCGGGGAGGAGGCGGGAGGCGCCCGGCUGGAGUACUACGAGAGCGAGAAGAAAUGGAGGAACAAGUCCGGGGCGCCCAAGCGGGUGAUCGCCCUGGACUCCUGCCUCAACAUCAACAAGCGGGCGGACGCCAAGCACAAGUACCUCAUUGCCCUCUACACCAAGGACGAGUACUUCGCUGUGGCGGCCGAGAACGAACAGGAGCAGGAGGGCUGGUACAGGGCUCUCACCGAUCUGCUCAACGAGGGCAAGGCGGCCUGCCAGGGGUCCCCCCACCGUCACCUCGCCUCCCCCUUCUCCGCCUCCUGCGGCGCGGCCGCCGCCUCCCUGGCCGCCGCCGGCGAAGACCUUAACUACGGGCUGAUCGCGCCGGCCACCGCUGCCUACCGAGAGGUCUGGCAGGUGACGCUGAAGCCCAAGGGCUUGGGGCAGAGUAAAAACCUCACCGGCGUCCACCGGCUCUGCCUCUCGGCCCGCACCAUUGGGUUCGUGCGCCUCAAUUGCGAGCUGCCCUCGGUCACGCUGCAGCUGAUGAACAUCCGCCGCUGCGGCCACUCCGACAGCUUCUUCUUCAUCGAGGUGGGGCGCUCGGCCGCCACCGGCCCUGGCGAGCUCUGGAUGCAAGCGGACGACUCGGUGGUGGCCCAGAACAUCCACGAGACCAUCCUGGAGGCCAUGAAGGCGCUGAAGGAGCUGUCCGAGUUCCGGCCCCGCAGCAAGAGCCAGUCCUCCUCCUCCUCUUCGUCCGGGGGGGCUGGCGGGCCCGGCGGUAGCGGCGCCUCCGCCACCCACCCCAUCACGGUGCCCGGUCGCCGGCACCACCACCUGGUCAACCUGCCUCCCAGCCAGACCGGCCUCCUCCGCCGUUCCCGCACCGACAGCCUCGCCGCCGGCGCCGCCACCAAGUGCACGCCGUGCCGGGUGAGAACGGCCAGCGAGGGCGACGGCUGCCGGGUGGGCUCUGCGGCCGGCAGCCCCAUGAGCCCGGGCCCCGUGCGGACUCCCCUGAGCCGCUCGCACACGCUCAGCGGCGGCGGAGGGCGGCAGGCGGGGAAACUGCUCCCGGUGCUGGCCGGCGGCGGCGGGCUGCAGAGCAGCCGUUCCAUGUCCAUGCCCGCCUCCCACUCGCCCCCCUCCGCCACCAGCCCCAUCAGCCUCUCCUCCAGUAGCGGCCUCGGCUCCGAGCCUGCCCACCCGCAUCACCCGCAGCGCCCGUCCAGCGGCAGCGCCUCCGUGUCCGGCUCCCCCAGUGACGCCGGCUUUAUGUCUUUCGACGAGUACGGCUCCAGCCCGGGCGGCGACCUCCGGCCCUUCUCCUCCUCCUCCACUGCCAGCAACCGCAGCAACACCCCCGAGUCGGUGGCCGAGACCCCCCCAGUGCGGGACCCGGGGGGCGGCACCGACCUCUACGGCUACAUGACGAUGGAGCGGCCCCCGAGUGGCCGCCUCUGCUACCGGCCCUGCCCCGAUGCUGCCAGCGACAGGUGCCAUCGGAAGCGGACCUACUCCCUAACCACGCCGUGCCGGCAGCGACCUGCCGCGCCGCAGGUUUCCUCCGCCUCCCUCGACGAGUACACGCUGAUGCGCGCCACCUUCGCCGGCAGCGCCGGCCGCCUCUUCCCGUCCUGCCAAGCCGGGGCUUCCCCCAAAGUGACCUACACCCCCUACCCUGAGGACUACGGGGAUAUCGAGAUCGGUUCUCACCGCAGCUCCGGCAGCAGCAGCACCAAUCUGGGCCCGCCGGCAGUGGGGGGAGGAGGGGGAGAUGAUGACGGCUACAUGCCCAUGACCCCCGGUGUGGCCGCAGCCUUAGGGCAGGGAAGCCGGAGCAGCGAUGAUUACAUGCCCAUGAGCCCAACCAGCGUGUCUGCCCCCAAGCAGAUCCUGCAGCCCCGGGCAGGGGUGGGUAGCGGGUCCCCGGGAAACGGGAGCAGCUACAAGACCAGCUCGCCUGGGGAGAGCUCCCCUGACGAUAGCGGGUACAUGCGGAUGUGGUGCGGCUCCAAGCUGUCUGUGGAGAGCUCAGAUGGAAGGCUGAGUAACGGCGACUAUAUCAAUAUGUCCCCUCGGGACCCCCAGAAUGGGCCCCAAGUUCCCUCCCUCACUCCCCCAGACUUCUUUUUCGCCCCUUCAGGGCAUGGGUCCAGUGAGCCCCCAAAGCCCAGCUGCUAUUCAUACAGCUCCUUACCCCGCUCCUACAAGAGCCAGGGCUUGGCGAAGGACAGCGACCAGUAUGUCUUCAUGAACUCCCCGGGGAGGAUGAUCCCGGAGGAGGCGGUGUGUGGAGCGGGCCAGUUGCCUGCAGGCACCUUCGUCCCCUCCAGCCACACGGUGCCUUCGCCCCUGCGGCACAGCCGGACCGAGAGCUUCCUGAGCCAGCGAUGCCAGCGGGUGGCCCGGCCCAGCCGCCUCUCUUUGGAGACCUUGCGGACAAUGCUGCCCAGCAUGAAUGAGCACCCUCUGCCGCCUGAGCCCAAGAGCCCUGGUGAAUACAUCAACAUUGACUUUGGGGAUGCUGCCAUCUAUUCUCCCCCCUCACUGCCUGCUGACAGCCCAGCCUCCUCCCUGGGCUCAGGCACGGGACAGAGGCGCUCCCCUCUCUCUGACUACAUGAACAUUGACUUUGGGUCACAGUCUCCGUCCCAGUCAGGCACGGUCUCGGUGGGCUCCUUGGAAGCUCUCUCACCAGGUUCUUCCUCCAGCACCAGCCAGCCCAAUGGACGCUACUUGAAGGCAGCUGUGGGAGUGGCUUGUUCGUCCAGCCCAUCAGAUGGUGGUGAUUACACUGAGAUGACCUUUGGCAUGGCCACUACCCCACCUCAACCCAUCAUUCAGAAACCAGAAAGUGCCUGCAUCACUAGCCCCACAUCUGGGGUGAAGAGGCUCACCCUCUCUGGGGUGGAGGCUUUCAUUCUCUCCAGCCCUCCCCCAGACCCGAAUCGGGGGGCAAAAGUAAUCCGGGCAGAUCCCCAGGGGCGGAGGAGGCACAGCUCAGAAACUUUCUCUUCCACCACCACUGUGACCCCAGUGUCCCCCUCCUUCGCACACAACCCCAAACGACACAACUCGGCCUCGGUGGAGAACGUGUCCCUCAGGAAAAGCGAAGGCCUGGAGGAGGAGCAGGGUAGCAGUCCCAUGUGCCGGGAGACCUCGGCUGGCUUCCAGAAUGGCCUCAACUACAUCGCCAUUGACGUGGUGGAUGGGUCCCUGGCAAACUGUGACAAGUCCAGGUUGAAAGCCAGGCACCUCCUGAAUGGGGGCAUCAAUGGAGUAGAGAUGAGCGCCUAUGCCAGCAUAGACUUUCUGCCUCACAACCUGAAAGAAGCCAGUGCUGUGAAAGGAAGUACAGGAAGAUGGAAAAGAUGAGAGAUGCACCGUUUGCAGAGCAAGCUUUGAACCUAAUUAAGACGAGAGGAUUGUUGAAUGCAAUGUCAGAGUUUGAAAAGAUGAAGGCUUAUUCUGAAUGACUGGAAGGGUUGAGGGCCGAGCCUUAUUUGUCUCUUGCUUUUAGUUUUGGUGGGGUCGCUUUCAGGAUCCUUCUGGCUUGCCCGAGCCCGGUGCGGAUGCUGCAGCCCCCCUCUUUCAUUGCCCGGCCUUGGGAUGGCGGUCCCGGGCGCCAGCAGACGAUCACGCCCCUUUGCUUUGCAAACGGAUUUUUCGCAGAAACGAGGAGCUUGUCUUGAGCCACCUACAGCCCCAAUUGCAAACGAAGCCCGGUGUUGGGAAAGAGCUAUUUCCACAGCAUUCCCCAAACUGCUGACCCUAAGGGGGGGGUGGGGGCGGGCACCGGUUACCGGGAAAACCCGGCGCGGAGCGCGGUCGCAGCAGGCGGCACGCGGGAAUGAGAGCGGCGGGCGGUCAGAUAAGGAGAGGGAAACGACCGCUGUCCUUCCCAUCCAGUAAACAAAAGGAUAAUGCCGUGAACGCCACCGUAUUAAUGUGGUACGCGGCUUACAGCGGAGAGGCCUCAGUGCUGCUGCUGCGUGUGUUUGUCCAAGGAUGGUUAUAGGCUUGCCUUAUUUUAAUAUUUAAUCUGCAUGUGUGUUUGUUUUUCCUCUUUCCCGUAACCUUCUAAACGCAGAUCACAUGGAGGAGUGGUGCGGGGAGGCUCGUUGGAAUUGACACUAUCUGUAGGAGGUGGGCUGUCUUCUCCAGCACCUUGCUUCCCUGAGAAGGGUGCCAGCCUGUAGGGUGCACUCAGAGGUACGGGAUGCAGGGAUGGAUGGAUGGAUGGAACCAGAGUCAGGUCAAGGUAGUAAGGAAGAACCUCACACCACCAGCAUCCUCAGCCAACAGUGGGUUGGGUGCCAUUAAUGGGGGAUCAGGUUAAUUGCACUUGUGGCAGCCAAACUGAGGAAGUCAAAGCAUGGGGAAGGGGAAAUACAUCACAAAGGUCUUCAUUGGUGUAAGUUUAAUAAAAUCAUAAACUUCUGCAAAUUUCCUAGACUCCCUUUUGGUUUUCAUUGGGACUUCACAACCAGAGUUUGUUUAUGGCAGGUCUUCUGCCAGUGCUUAAAAAGGUCACCCAGCAUUUUGCUAAUGUAUUUGAGUUUUAAACAUUGUGAUUUGGGAGACUACUAAGAAUUUCAGUUUUACUGAGAAACAUACUCUGUUUAAAUAAAACUAUACUUUGCUUUAUAGGCAAGAUUAUUUUAACAGUAGUAAUUUGGGUAGAUUUGAGAAAAUGUAAUUCUGUAAAAUAUACUGAUUUGCACAAGAGAGAGCUUAUAUAAUCAGCAUUGUUUAGUUUGCACUUUUUUCAAACUUUGUUUUUAGCUGCAUGAGAAAAGUGAGAAGUUUUCUUCAAAAACCAAGGGUGGUUUCUAGUAAUUUUAAAAUGAUGGAUAAUCCACUGUUUAAUAUUUAGAACAGGAGACCGUGAUACAGAGUAUACAAACAAGCUCCUUGUAAUUACCUUCUCAGUAAAUUAAUAUUUUGAUUUGUGCAAAAUACAUGUAAAAACCCAGUUUGAAUUCUUUCUUAAGGUCUGUAGCAGUAGUUGUAUUUUCAUGUGGAUAAAUGUUUUGAGGGAAAUUAUUUGUAUAAUUUAAAGGUGGCUGGCUUUCACGUGUAGUGUGUUUCUCUGUUAUCAGUAACUUGCCUCUGCUGUAGGGAGUGCUGUGCUUUUGGAGAUCUCUGUCCAUAUUACCCUGUCAUGGCAAGAGCAAGGAGUGCAUCCACAACUGCUUUCAAAACAGAACAGUUAAAAGGUUGCUUGAAAUUAUUGCUUCAUUUAGUUUUACUGUGUUCUGAAAAUGUGCAACUAUUUAGGAGCUGGAGAAACAAUUGCCUUCAUCUGAUAUGUAAAUAAAAUAAUACUGUUAUUGGUGGGUUAAAACUUGUUACUUGCUAAUAAUAAAUUAUGACUGCUUUUUUGCUUAAAAACAUAUGAACUGUGUAUGGAUUUCUUUAUUUAUGGAGAUGUUUACACUCGUUUUUCUCGUAUAAGUGUGAAUUAUUUAUUCCGGGGUAUUUAUGAGAUUACAGUCAAUAAUGAUGUGAAUUUUUAUGGUGGAUCUUAGUUCUGUUGAAGUAAAAUGAGAGUUUUGUCUCUGUCUCAAAGGGUUAAGAUUUUACCCUUUGUGUGUAAUCCUAGAAUUUUUAAGAUUACCAUUAAAUUUAGUGGGUGUAUAAUAGGGAAUUUUCCUUAAUCGAAAUCACCAGACUCGAGUGGGUAAUCUUUAAUUUUGUUUUCUUUUCCACUCACAGAGUGCUCUGUAGUUCUAAUUUGUAAAUGUUUCUAGUAGUUGGUCUAGUUUUCUAAAACUGAACAGAUAUUAUGUGUAAUAACGCAAAAUCCUUGAGGGUUCUUUCCCUCCUGUGUCAGUUUUUUUGCCUUGAUUUGUUUGAAGAAAUCAUCAUCUGUAAUGCUUCUACUUAAGAUCAUAAUAAGGUGAUUUUUGGUAAUAAUGAUCCUCCCCCUGCACUCGCCUUGUCAAUUAGUUUUUAGUUUUGUGAGGGUCUUAUGGCUGCACCUAAACAAUAAAAAGCCUAUUUUAAGAAAUCUCUUCCUCUGUCUUUCUAAUGACAUUUUAGAUUGUUGAAGAUGUAAACUUUGUUUUCUUUUUCUUUGGGAUUACUUUGCACAAUGAAUUAUAUUAUUAAGUUGUUUUUUGACCUCCUCUUCAUAUGCCAACUACCAAAAAGUUUUGGUUCUCAGAGUGACAUGAGAAUGUUUAAUUGUCUCUGUAACAAAAUUAAUGCUCAUUUCAAAAUCACUUCUUAAAAGUGUUAAAAGAACUAUGUGCUGUGUUAGAAAUUUAUACAUCUUUUAAAGUCUUUUUUGAAUAAAUCCAUUGUAGUAGUUUCUCUUUCUGUUCUGUAAGAAUAUCAAACUAACAGCAGAAAGAACUGAGCUACUUUUAAUAACUUAAAUAGCUUGAGCUUUUAACUUAACCUCACAUUUUUAAUUCUAAGUGUUUCUUUUAAACAUCUCGAAAUUCACUUACUGUCUUUCAGAUGGCACUUUGCAGGUGACCAAACCAAAAUGGUUAGAUCUGAACCUAGCAGUGCCACUUGUGAAACACAAAAUGUAAACUGAAAUGAUCUAGGAUUAAAUGAAGCUUUUGAUAUUUUAAAUUAUGUUGAUUAUAUGGGUGUCAAGCUUUUUACAAGCAGAUAGAAUAUCAUGACAUCUAUUAAACUUUUUUUUUUGCUUUAUACUUUAUGUUUAGCUGUACUUCUCGUAGAAAGAAUGUCAUGGUUACUUUGAGUCGUUGAAGAUAAAUUGUUAUAGACCAAGUUGAAUGGUGGGUUUGUUCUAAAAUGAACCAGUACAGUCAUUGCUCAAGGCAGAGGAAAUGCUUAGGUUGAUGAUUGCUUUUGAUUACUUGAUUUCUUUCAAGAUAGCUACAGAGACUAAUGUUCGUUUGUAAGUAAAAAGAAUAAAGGAGUAUUUGAACAGAAAGGGUAUUAGGACAUGUUUUAUAUGGUGGGGUUUGUUGGUUUUUUUGUUUGUUUUGGUUUUUUUUAUAAAGGAGAGACUAACAUGGGUUUCUUUACACUUGAUUUACUCUUAUUUUUAAAUAGCGUUAAUUACACUGGAGUGGUUUAUAAACUGAAACACAGCAAGCAGCCACUGAAAAAUUUAGCCAGUUACUGUAUGUAAUCUAACUUCCCUCCCUAUUCUGCAGUUAAAUGGCAGCAUAAUUACAUCCAGGUAUUUUCUGUCUAUAUCAGUUUUUCUCCAAAAGCACCAUUAAUGUUUCUUUUUAAAGUAAUAAACAUCUUAAAAAAUGGUUAUAUCUGUGGCUUUUUUUCUUCCGAAUUUGUUGAAAUACAGUACACUUUUUAUUCUGGUUAUCCAUAUGUUUUUUUCUUUGUGUCUGUGUUCAUUGUGUUAGUCAUGAUACAGCAAAUUUUGUGGAAGUUUUAACAUUAAGUUGACGCAGUACGUGUAAUAGCAAUUUAAAGUGUAUAUGUUGACUGAUUUGAUAAAUUAGGAUGUGUAAUUAUGAGAGGUUCACAACUCUCUGGGUUUUUUGUACUUUCUUCUGUGUAUGCAUGGAAAUCAGUAUUAUCCCCUGAGUUUUCAGAAGAUGGUGUAGUGACCUCCAAAGUUCAGAUAUGUUUUUUUGUGUCUGUUGUCUGGCGUAUAGUUAUUUUUAAAGUUUUGUGCAUAUGUAUGUAGGGGGUCGAGUUGUAGCUUUGAAAAGCCAAGUUCAGCUCAAUAGUCCCCUUGCUGCUGGUUGUUGAAAAGGCUGGCUCUCCUGCAGCUGAGUUUUCAAAGGAAAACUUGUUUGUUUGUUUUUGUUGUUGUUUGGGGUUUUUUUUUAUGCUUGUGUUUGUGUCAACUGCCUUUAGCUAUCCAGCAUGUGUGCUUCUUGGAUUAGUCAGUCUCCCAGGGCUCUGGAGAAGCACCAACAGUAAACAGAACCAGCAAAGGUGACUGGUCCCAUUCUUUUAAAUGCGAGUUAUAAAGUAGCACGCAUUCUCCCUUGCAUCUCUGUCAGCUUUGGAGGAAGCCAGGAUUACUGGUUUAGAUUGUAUUUGCAGUUUCCACGCUAAUGCAGAUAGAAUGGAUCCCUCAGCUGCAGGGUUGGUGUUUGUAGUUAACGCAAGCUUUUAAGACUUAGGUAUUUCAAGCCUGAUGCAAACCACAGAAAAAUCAAUGCGAAGAUUGCUUACAUCUUUACAGAGGGUCACCUAAAAGUACAUUUCAUGGAGUGUUAAAGUGCUAACACAUGUCUAGUAACAUUUGAGGCUCACUUAAAGACAGCAGGAGUUUGCAAUCUCUGUGUCGCCAGUUAAACAAUAAUGAGUAACUUUCCUGAAGAAUAGGUAAAUUCCUGCUUAUUUCCAUGGAGUUGUGCUAUUGCUUGGUAGCUCUGGUGACAAAUUGGCUACUAAACUGGGACUGUUUAGGAAAGAUUUUCAAUCUGAUGAUGAGAAAUCCCUUUAGAAAUUGAUUUAAAAGGCCAAGGACAAUACUUGGAGUUCUGUUACUAUUUUUGCUUUAAAAAAAUAUUUCAAAACAUUCUCAGUGUUUUUAUCAGUGAUGAUGACCCCAAAGUGUGUAUAGCUGUAUCAAAAACAGUAAUUAAAAAAAAUCAAGUUCUUGCUCACAGUGCGGGACAAAUACACUCUGGAAAGAGGCUUGUUACAAGUGAACAGUGGGGAGAUACUUUCCAGAAUAAACAUCUUUGAUGCUAGGGUGGGUUUUUUUGUUUGUUUUCAAAUCCAGAAUUGCCCAUCUCAGUUAAAUAAAAGUUAUUUCAGAGUGUGUUUUUUCUCAGUAAAUCAAUCACAAAAAUAGUUAGGAAAAAAACAACCCAAGCCACAAACCUAAGCCCCCACCUCUGAUGGUAACAUCUACACUGCAGAAGAGUAAUGUAAUAGCUUUAUUGCGUAGAUUAGGAAUGAUUCAGUGUUUUGUUUGCAUUAUUUGUCAAUCUCUUCAGCAUCCUAGAGGAGAACACUUCCUUCCUGGCAGAUGGCAGCCCCAGGGCCAUGCACCUGCCAUUACAAGCACUACACAGUAGUAAUCCACCCCAGCAUUGCUGUUGACAAGAGGCUAAUGAUUGGAGACUGUCUGCCUGACAGCCUAAACAAAAUAGGAACAUACUUGUCCUUCAGCAAGGGUCUGAGAGAUCUUAGGUAGGACAGUCAGGACAGUAUGCUGAAAAAUUAUAAUGGGACUUAGUUUAGACCCCUUUGGUGGUGUUUGCAGUAUGAGCCACUUGCAAGAUAAUGAUGCUUCAAAAAGCAAACAGUGUCUCAAAGCAGGGAUUUUCUGUUUCUCUGGCAGAGCCAUAGCUGACGGGUAUUAAUAGCUCAGUGUUGAUGGGAGGAAGGCUUGCGUGAUUCCACUGGCUGUGCCGCUGUCCUCUGCGGCGCAGUCUGCCCUCGCUGGGAGCAGGGAGUUGGAUGCACUUGUGCUGAGUGAAGGAGUUAGUUUUCUCAUCAUGACCUCAAACAACAGAGUACAACAUUCAAAGAAGCUGCUCGGCAUAUACCUUUUUGUUUAUUUGGUUUUGGGUUUUUGUUUUUGGUAACUGAAGCUGCUUAACGUUUACUUUUUAUUGUUGUUAUUGUUGGUCCUAACAGUUGCUUAACUGUUGUGGGCUAAACUGUACAACAAAUCUGGGAGGAAGGGAAAGCAACCUGCCUAACUCAUUACUUGUCCAUGGCAUCUGUUAUCAUUUUGCUGCUGUUUUGACAGAAGCUGGAGAUGCUCUUUAAACCAUAGGAACUUUUCUGCUGGCCUCUUUAAUUAAUGGCCGAUGCCUUCAUUUUCUUUUUCUUCAAAGACAAACUGUAUUUAUUCUCUGGCAUAUUAGGGGAUUCUGUAACACCUGCUGAAGCAGCAAGAUCUGGUAUUUACUGGCAUAAUUUCAAGCCUACGACAGUACUACCUCAGUUCAAAGUAAAGCCGGAUUUGCCGUGUUGGUGUAUGACAGGAACUCCUGUAUCUCUGUGCUGAGUCUCUCAAGAACAGUCGCCAGCCUUACUGAACUUGCAACUUGUACAGCUGCUGCUGCUGCUGGGUUUUGAAUCACUAGCUGCAGGGUUUACUUCUCAGACAAAGCCGAAGUAGGGUACUGAAAAGUCUAAAAUGGGAUGAAACUCUGUGAAUCAGACUUAGACAGAGGAUUCAGAGUAGUUAAAAAGUAUAAAAUGUGUAACUGAAGCAACGUAAGUUAAAAACAUCAAUCUAUAUUAGGGGUAUCUCUGUACCUUUGACACACUUGUUUAAUCCUCUCUAUGUAGGUGUUUAUGUAGGUACUUCAGAUUGCAAAAGCCUUUUCUUCUAUUUACAAGCUCACUUUUGUCAGCUAACUGUUCUUAGCUGCAUUUCUUGUAACCAAAAAAAUCCACAUAGGCAUGCUAGGAAUGCAGGGAUGAUAAUGGGUAUCGGGCAGAUUCAAGAGCUAUGUUAACACAGUAUUAUCUUGCCAUCUAUAAAGUCCUGAUAUUUGCCUUUUACCAGGAAAGCACCAUUGUAGCUGCAGGCACUAUUACAGGGAAGAAGAACCAUUGCAGUCACUUAUCCUGAGUUCUUUUCAAGGCUAACUGUGCAUCACAUUUCCAGUGGCCUGAAAAUCUGAGUGGUGUGGCAGCUACUGUCACGAAAGUCACAUACAACUGUUGCACCAGACUAGCAGAAUGUCAUGCCACCUUGCUUCUCCUUUGAUUGAAGUGUUUGUGUACAUUUUAAGGGUACCCCGCCAGUGCCUGCUCUGAUAGACAUGUAAGUAUUACUAAGUUAUGAGUUAUGUGAGACUUUUUUCUUUUCUUUCUUUUUUUAAAUCAUUGUGCUUGGUGGAACCUGUACUUCACUGUUAACAAUGCAUCAUCUUCUUUUGGGGUUUUUUUUUUUUUCUGAGGAAGACAAGAGUCAAUGUCUUAAAAAUACAAUGAAUGGCAAUGCAGUCUUCCUGCUUACAUGCUGAAUUUUUAGAACUGAGGAUUGUAUUACAAGACAAAGAUGAAUGUAAACUAAUUCCUUCCCUACUUCAUGGCACACUUUAUUUUUCAGUGUAGUUUUUUGGAUCUUAAAUCACAGCAAUGCAUAGGCUAAUACAAUAUUGGAUCUAAAAUCAAUUUAAAUAUCUGAUCUGAUUGAGUUUUUCUCUAAUACUAAUGCUAUAAAUGGUUCUAAGACAUUCUGAAAUGCUGCUUGUUCAAGUCUGGAACUAAAAAACCCGCAUACCUUUGGCAUUUUCUGUCUGACCCCCUCCUGCCCCCGCCAGCACUGAGUGUGGUACCUGCUGAAUUCAAUGUUUUGAAUGUCUCUAUUUUGAAGAAUCCCUCUGUAUCAAUUAAGAAAUUAUGCCACUAAAACAAAUGGCUAAACAGCAUAGAGCAACUUAAAAAUCAAAACCAAACUUGACUAAAUAAUCAAUUAUUCUCUAUCCUGUAUAUUUCACAAAGGCAUAUGCAAUACUUACAUUCUUAAUUUAGUUUACAGAAUGGAACCAAAAUGUAUAAAUGUUAUGUUUGCUAAAACUUCACAAUGUAUAUUGGGUCUUUGUACAUUUUGCCUGACUUACCUUAAAUUUAAAAUAUUUUUUGCUAUAUAACCUUAACAGUUAUUAAGCAGUGUUUUCUUUUUGGGUACGUAUUGUUUCUGGAUAUCAAGAUGUUAAAUAUAUUUCUUGCUAUUGUGAUAUGACAAGAGACUUAACUUAUCUUGCUGUGUCUUCCAAUGUACACGCUGUAUAUAAAGAUAAAUGUGAUGCUGCUGGAGACCAGAAUAAAUGGAACUAGAGUAGUGUAUUGUAUUUAGUCUGUAUUGAUUAUGGAUGCUCUCCUUAAUAGCCAUAUGCAAUAAAAUACGUUAUUUAUGAAAGGA